rnacentral:rRNA from 1 species
UACCAUGAGUACAGUGGCGACCGGGUGAGUAACACGUGACUACCUACCCUUGAGUGGGGGAUAACCUCGGGAAACCGAGGCUAAUACCGCAUAAUAUCGAGAGAUCAAAGGAGAAAUCCGCUUUUGGAGGGGGUCGCGGCUGAUUAGCUAGUUGGUAGGGUAAUGGCCUACCAAGGCGAAGAUCGGUAUCCGGCCUGAGAGGGCGCACGGACACACUGGAACUGAAACACGGUCCAG